rnacentral:rRNA from 1 species
CCUACGGGGUGCUGCAGUGGGGAAUAUUGGACAAUGGGCGAAAGCCUGAUCCAGCCAUGCCGCGUGUGUGAAGAAGGCCUUCGGGUUGUAAAGCACUUUCAGUGGGGAAGAAAGCCUUGGGGCUAAUACCCUCGAGGAAGGACAUCACCCACAGAAGAAGCACCGGCUAACUCCGUGCCAGCAGCCGCGGUAAUACGGAGGGUGCGAGCGUUAAUCGGAAUUACUGGGCGUAAAGCGCGCGUAGGCGGUCUGAUAAGCCGGUUGUGAAAGCCCCGGGCUCAACCUGGGAACGGCAUCCGGAACUGUCAGGCUAGAGUGCAGGAGAGGAAGGUAGAAUUCCCGGUGUAGCGGUGAAAUGCGUAGAGAUCGGGAGGAAUACCAGUGGCGACGGCGGCCUUCUGGACUGACACUGACGCUGAGGUGCGAAAGCGUGGGUAGCAAACAGGAUUAGAUACCCGAGUAGUC